CCUACGGGUGGCAGCAGUCGAGAAUCAUUCACAAUGGGGGAAACCCUGAUGGGGCGACGCCGCGUGGGGGAAUGAAGGUCUGCGGAUUGUAAACCCCUGUCAUGGGGGAGCAAAUUAUAAAGAUAGUACCACAAGAGGAAGAGACGGCGAACUCUGGGCCAGCAGCCGCGGUAAUACAGAGGUCUCAAGCGUUGUUCGGAAUCACGGGGCGUAAAGCGUGCGGAGGCUGUUUCGUAAGUCGUGUGUGAAAGGCGCGGGCUCAACCCGCGGACGGCACCUGAUACUGCGAGACUAGAGUAUUGGAGGGGGAACCGGAAUUCUCGGUGUAGCCGUGAAAUGCGUAGAUAUCGCGAGGAACACUCGUGGCGAAGGCGGGUUCCUGGACAUUACCUGACGCUGAGGCACGAAGGCCCGGGGAGCGAACGGGAUUAGAUACCCGUGUAGUC
rnacentral:rRNA from 1 species